CUUGAGUUCUAUUGAAGUCAAUGCAGCAGCUCUUCCCCUAAACCAACUCUCCUAGGGAUCAGCGAACUUGCUUUCAUAGGCACACUUUGUUUUUAUCCACAUCUGGAAUGACUCAUGGUGCAUCACCUACUACAUUGGGCAGAAAAUGUCUAAAGGAGUCAACAUUCGUGAAGUGAAAAGGUAUUUGAUAGUUGCCUCCUUGAUGAUGCUGGUCCACAUAACAAAAUUCACUCAAUCUGACAUCAUUGAAAGAUUCUACUCAGGACAGACCCAGAAUGGAAACAGCUCGGGGUAUACAGUGCCUAGAGACCCAUGAUGGACACAGAGAUAGACGGUGGCUCUAAUUCUUCUCUCACUUACACGUAUGUAAGCCAGGAGCAACUUCAAUGAAGUGAGUGGAGGCACACUGGGGUAAAAUUGGCAUACACGAGAAGAGAAUCCAGCUCAGAUUACAUAGAUUAGCAGAG